rnacentral:rRNA from 1 species
GACGGGGGAUGCGAGCGUUAUCCGGAAUGAUUGGGCGUAAAGGGUCCGCAGGUGGCCCGGUCAGUCCGCUGUCAAAGCCUGGGGCUCAACCCUGGAGAGGCGGCGGAGACCACCGGGCUUGAGUCCGGUAGGGGCAGAGGGAAUUCCCGGUGGAGCGGUGAAAUGCGUAGAUAUCGGGAGGAACACCUGAGGCGAAGGCGGGCUACUGGGCCGAUACUGACGCUGAUGCGCGAAAGCCAGGGGAGCAAACGGG